CCUACGGGAGGCUGCAGUGAGGAAUAUUGGUCAAUGGACGAGAGUCUGAACCAGCCAAGUAGCGUGAAGGAUGACUGCCCUCUGGGUUGUAAACUUCUUUUAUAUGGGAAUAAAACGUUCCACGUGUGGGAUUUUGUAUGUACCAUAUGAAUAAGGAUCGGCUAACUCCGUGCCAGCAGCCGCGGUAAUACGGAGGGUCCGAGCGUUAUCCGGAUUUAUUGGGUUUAAAGGGAGCGUAGGUGGAUUGUUAAGUCAGUUGUGAAAGUUUGCGGCUCAACCGUAAAAUUGCAGUUGAAACUGGUAGUCUUGAGUACAGUAGAGGUGAGCGGAAUUCGUGGUGUAGCGGUGAAAUGCUUAGAUAUCACGAAGAACUCCGAUUGUGAAGGCAGUUCACUGGACUGAAACUGACACUGAGGCUCGAAAGUGUGGGUAUCAAACAGGAUUAGAUACCCGAGUAGUC
rnacentral:rRNA from 1 species